rnacentral:misc_RNA from 1 species
AGCAAAUUAACCUCGGUAUGAAUUUGCUACUUUUUAUUUUUUUGGUGAGAGUUUAAAGGUUUUCGAUUGGUAACUAUACAAUUGUGUUCAUUUGAUUUGUACGGUGAUGUUUCUCUGAUCAUUGAUUGAUACGAGAGUGGAAUUUAGCAGCCUUGAAUUCUUAUAAGGCUCCCUUUGGCAUCAGGGAUUUGGGAUAAUUAUCUGUUUUUGGUUUAAA